AGUUUUGAUCCUGGCUCAGGACGAACGCUGGCGGCGCGCCUCAUGCAUGCAAGUCGAGCGACGCACUCCUUAGCCGUAAGGGGCGGGUUUGACGGAGCGGCGAACGGGUGCGUAACACGUGACUAAUCUACCCCGAAGACCGGGAUAGCCCGGGGAAACCCGGAUUAAUACCGGAUGAUCUCACCGCAGCGCAUGUUGCGGUGAGCAAAGGUUCAGGCGCUUCGGGAUGAGGUCGCGGCCCAUCAGCUGGUUGGUGAGGUAACGGCUCACCAAGGCAACGACGGGUAGCUGGUCUGAGAGGACGAUCAGCCACACUGGAACUGAGAUACGGUCCAGACUCCUACGGGAGGCAGCAGCAGGGAAUCUUGCGCAAUGGGCGAAAGCCUGACGCAGCGACGCCGCGUGGGGGAUGAAGGCCUUAGGGUUGUAAACCCCUUUCACGAGGGAAGAAAAUGACGGUACCUCGAGAAGAAGCCCCGGCUAACUACGUGCCAGCAGCCGCGGUAAUACGUAGGGGGCGAGCGUUGUCCGGAUUUAUUGGGCGUAAAGGGCUCGUAGGCGGCUUGACAAGUCGGCCGUGAAAACCCAGGGCUCAACCCUGGGACGCCGGUCGAUACUGUCAUGGCUAGGGUCCGGUAGAGGGGAAUGGAAUUCCCGGUGUAGCGGUGAAAUGCGCAGAUAUCGGGAGGAACACCAUUAGCGAAGGCGGUUCCCUGGGCCGGCACCGACGCUGAGGAGCGAAAGCGUGGGGAGCAAACAGGAUUAGAUACCCUGGUAG
rnacentral:rRNA from 1 species